CAGAUGUGUGGACAGCUAUGAGCCAAACUUGGGACGUUUGGUUUUUAGGUGGAGAGACCGUCUGGGCAGCAGAAACAAGACAACUAAUCAUAGUUGAGUUGAGAUUAGUAUUAUUAACUUGACUAGUUUGGUUGCAGACUUCUUCAAUACUUAACAAUUUGUAUAAGUUACAAGAUCAAUGGUCCUGCUAUCAAUGUUUUUGUAACUUAAAUUCAUUACAGUUUAGAUACAAUCAAAUGUCCAAACCAUCUCUGAGUGAAUGACAUCAAGGAAACAGGAUCAAAAAGAUCAUUCAUUAUAGACCGUUUCAUAGGUCCUCCUGAUCAUUCUGUUCUCCUGGUUGUGAGGAUGUGCAGAGGCUGUAUUUGUCAGUGUUAAAAGACUUGUGCAGCUGUAUCUAGACAUACAAGCAGCCGACAAAGAGUUCUGGAGCAGGACAGACAGGGCAGCACGGUGGCGCAGAGGGUAGCACGUUUGCCUCACAGCAAGAAGGUUGCUGCUUCAAGCUUCGGCUGGGUCAGUUGGCGUUUCUGUGUGAAGUUUGCAUGCUCUCCCCGUGUUGGCAUGGGUUUCCUCCGGGUGCUCCGGUUUUCCCAAGUCCAAAGACAUAGGUGAAUUGGAUUGGUGUACGCUGAUGGUCUGCUGAGAAUUCUGCUGAGUUGAAGGGAUCCUCCUGUCAGACAACCUCUCCAAAGUACAAUAGGACUAGGUUCCCACUACAAGGAUUAGAUUUGGCUACUGCAGUCCCGGUUUGGGCCAGCCUCACUUGUGAAGACUAAAGAUGAAGACAACAUACAAGAACAAUUUAGAGGAUGGCGACACACUUUUUAUUCCACCUCUAUAAGUCAGAGCAAGAAAAUGUUAUGUUUUCUUCUGGAGAAAGUCUUAUUUCUUUUAUUUCGGCUAGAAUAAAAACAGUUUUGAAUUUUUUAAAAAACAUUUUAAGGUCAAUAUUAUUAGCCACUUCAAGCAAUUUUUUGCGACUGUCUACAGAAC
ensembl:processed_transcript